rnacentral:rRNA from 1 species
UACGAAGGGGGCUAGCGUUGUUCGGAUUUACUGGGCGUAAAGCGCACGUAGGCGGAUCGUUAAGUCGGGGGUGAAAUCCUGGAGCUCAACUCCAGAACUGCCUUCGAUACUGGCGAUCUCGAGUCCGGAAGAGGUGAGUGGAACUCCUAGUGUAGAGGUGAAAUUCGUAGAUAUCGGGAGGAACACCAGUGGCGAAGGCGGCGAUCUGGGUCGAUACUGACGCUGAGGUGCGAAAGCGUGGGGAGCAAACAGG